rnacentral:misc_RNA from 1 species
UUGAUUUGUUAUAUGUGGACUCAGACAUGCAUGAUAACUGGAGUUUAUUGAUCUUCUGACAGGCCCCCUCCCGGAGGAGAGGAUGGAUUGGAGGGCGGGGACCGCUCGUAGAGCGUUCCCCCACACCCCAGCCCGGAUCCUGUCGAAGGAACGGUGUGUUGGUAUACAAGGGGGGUUGGAGGUUUGGGUCUUGUGACCCUUACUCGGUAAUGAUCCUUCCGCAGGUUCACCUACGGAAA